GAGCGGUCUGUUGAUGUGUAUCAACACUGAUGAGCUCUAAAAGAGCGAAACCAGGC
rnacentral:hammerhead_ribozyme from 32 species